GUUUUUCGCUUGAGGAUGAGCCCAUGUGGGAUUAGCUAGUUGGUAGGGUAACGGCCUACCAAGGCUACGAUCCCUAACUGGUCUUAGAGGAUGAUCAGUCACACUGGAACUGAGACACGGUCCAGACUCCUACGGGAGGCAGCAGUAGGGAAUAUUGCACAAUGGAGGAAACUCUGAUGCAGCGACGCCGCGUGAGCGAUGAAGGCCUUCGGGUCGUAAAGCUCUGUCGUAUGGGACUAACACAAUG
rnacentral:rRNA from 1 species